rnacentral:rRNA from 1 species
GACGAACGCUGGCGGCGUGCUUAACACAUGCAAGUCGAACGAAGUGGCGAACGGGUGAGUAACGCGUAAUCAACCUGCCCUUCAGAGGGGGACAACAGUUGGAAACGACUGCUAAUACCGCAUACGGAAGGAGGGGAUUGCGUUUGGUUAGCUAGUUGGAGGGGUAACGGCCCACCAAGGCGAAGAUCAGUAGCCUGUCUGGUAGGAUGAACGGCCACAUUGGGACUGGGGCACGGCCCAGACUCCUACGGGAGGCAACAGUGGGGAAACUUCCGCAAUGGACGAAAGUCUGUCAGAGCAACGCCGCGUGGGUGAUAACAGCCUUCGGGUUGUAAAGCUCUGUUAAUCGGGACGCGGUACCGGAAUAGAAAGCCACGGCUAACUACGUGCCAGCAGCCGCGGUAAUUC